rnacentral:rRNA from 1 species
CACGUAGGGUGCAAGCGUUGUCCGGAAUUAUUGGGCGUAAAGAGCUCGUAGGCGGUCUGUUGCGUCCGCUGUGAAAGCUCGGGGCUUAACCCCGAGCCUGCAGUGGAUACGGGCAGACUAGAGGUAGGUAGGGGAGAAUGGAAUUCCCGGUGUAGCGGUGAAAUGCGCAGAUAUCGGGAGGAACACCGGUGGCGAAGGCGGUUCUCUGGGCCUUACCUGACGCUGAGGAGCGAAAGCGUGGGGAGCGAACAGG